rnacentral:rRNA from 1 species
AAUCCAUAGGUUAAUGAGGCGAACCGGGGGAACUGAAACAUCUAAGUACCCCGAGGAAAAGAAAUCAACCGAGAUUCCCCCAGUAGCGGCGAGCGAACGGGGAGGAGCCCAGAGCCUGAAUCAGCAUGUGUGUUAGUGGAAGCGUCUGGAAAGGCGCGCGAUACAGGGUGACAGCCCCGUACACAAAAGCGCAUGUGCUGUGAGCUCGAUGAGUAGGGCGGGACACGUGGUAUCCUGUCUGAAUAUGGGGGGACCAUCCUCCAAGGCUAAAUACUCCUGACUGACCGAUAGUGAACCAGUACCGUGAGGGAAAGGCGAAAAGAACCCCGGCGAGGGGAGUGAAAAAGAACCUGAAACCGUGUACGUACAAGCAGUGGGAGCACAGGUUUACCUGUGUGACUGCGUACCUUUUGUAUAAUGGGUCAGCGACUUAUAUUCUGUAGCAAGGUUAACCGAAUAGGGGAGCCGGAGGGAAACCGAGUCUUAAUUGGGCGUUAAGUUGCAGGGUAUAGACCCGAAACCCGGUGAUCUAGCCAUGGGCAGGUUGAAGGUUGGGUAACACUAACUGGAGGACCGAACCGACUAAUGUUGAAAAAUUAGCGGAUGACCUGUGGCUGGGGGUGAAAGGCCAAUCAAACCGGGAGAUAGCUGGUUCUCCCCGAAAGCUAUUUAGGUAGCGCCUCGUGAAUUCAUCUCCGGGGGUAGAGCACUGUUUCGGCUAGGGGGCCAUCCCGGCUUACCAACCCGAUGCAAACUGCGAAUACCGGAGAAUGUUAUCACGGGAGACACACGGCGGGUGCUAACGUCCGUCGUGAAGAGGGAAACAACCCAGACCGCCAGCUAAGGUCCCAAAGUCAUGGUUAAGUGGGAAACGAUGUGGGAAGGCCCAGACAGCCAGGAUGUUGGCUUAGAAGCAGCCAUCAUUUAAAGAAAGCGUAAUAGCUCACUGGUCGAGUCGGCCUGCGCGGAAGAUGUAACGGGGCUAAACCAUGCACCGAAGCUGCGGCAGCGAACGUAUCACUUAAAGCGAUUCAGCGGGUUACGAUUGACGGAGCGAAGCGACGUCAAAGCGUAUACAAAGUCGAGUCGGUUUAAGGAUACGUUCGUUGGGUAGGGGAGCGUUCUGUAAGCCUGUGAAGGUGGCCUGUGAGGGUUGCUGGAGGUAUCAGAAGUGCGAAUGCUGACAUAAGUAACGAUAAAGCGGGUGAAAAGCCCGCUCGCCGGAAGACCAAGGGUUCCUGUCCAACGUUAAUCGGGGCAGGGUGAGUCGACCCCUAAGGCGAGGCCGAAAGGCGUAGUCGAUGGGAAACGGGUUAAUAUUCCCGUACUUGGUGUUACUGCGAAGGGGGGACGGAGAAGGCUAUGUUGGCCGGGCGACGGUUGUCCCGGUUUAAGCGUGUAGGUGUGUGUUCCAGGUAAAUCCGGUUCACUUUAACACUGAGGCGUGACGACGAGGCACUACGGUGCUGAAGCAACAAAUGCCCUGCUUCCAGGAAAAGCCUCUAAGCAUCAGGUAACAUCAAAUCGUACCCCAAACCGACACAGGUGGUCAGGUAGAGAAUACCAAGGCGCUUGAGAGAACUCGGGUGAAGGAACUAGGCAAAAUGGUGCCGUAACUUCGGGAGAAGGCACGCUGACACGUAGGUGAAGUGAUUUACUCAUGGAGCUGAAGUCAGUCGAAGAUACCAGCUGGCUGCAACUGUUUAUUAAAAACACAGCACUGUGCAAACACGAAAGUGGACGUAUACGGUGUGACGCCUGCCCGGUGCCGGAAGGUUAAUUGAUGGGGUCAGCGCAAGCGAAGCUCCUGAUCGAAGCCCCGGUAAACGGCGGCCGUAACUAUAACGGUCCUAAGGUAGCGAAAUUCCUUGUCGGGUAAGUUCCGACCUGCACGAAUGGCGUAAUGAUGGCCAGGCUGUCUCCACCCGAGACUCAGUGAAAUUGAACUCGCUGUGAAGAUGCAGUGUACCCGCGGCAAGACGGAAAGACCCCGUGAACCUUUACUAUAGCUUGACACUGAACAUUGAGCCUUGAUGUGUAGGAUAGGUGGGAGGCUUU